GCCAGCAUGGUGUAUUGGUUUGAGCAUUAGACUGCAACUCUAGAGACCAGGGUUCAAUUCCUUGCUUAGCCA